rnacentral:rRNA from 1 species
CCUACGGGAGGCAGCAGUGGGGAAUAUUGCACAAUGGGGGAAACCCUGAUGCAGUGACGCCGCGUGAGUGAAGAAGUAAUUCGUUAUGUAAAGCUCUAUCAGCAGGGAAGAAAAUGACGGUACCUGAGUAAGAAGCCCCGGCUAACUACGUGCCAGCAGCCGCGGUAAGACGUAGGGGGCAAGCGUUAUCUGGAUUUACUGGGGGUAAAGGGAGCGUAGACGGCAGUGCAAGUCUGGAGUGAAAGGCGGGGGCUCAACCCCCGGACUGCUCUGGAAACUGUACGGCUGGAGUGCAGGAGAGGUAAGUGGAAUUCCUAGUGUAGCGGUGAAAUGCGUAGAUAUUAGGAGGAACACCAGUGGCGAAGGCGGCUUACUGGACUGUAACUGACGUUGAGGCGCGAAAGCGUGGGGAGCAAACAGGAUUAGAUACCCUUGUAGUC